GAUGCAGUGGCCGAAAUGGAGAGGCGCACGAUUGCAGUUCGUGUCCAUGCGGGUUCGAGUCCCGCCUGCAUCU
rnacentral:tRNA from 1 species